GGCAGGAGGAGGAAAGUUUGAAAAGUCACUUAAAGCAUUGCAAGGUUCUCCCCCACCCCCAGCACCGGGAGAGCCCACCGCACAGACAGGAACCGGGGCUCCACGUGCGCAGCGGGCCCAAGAGAAGCUGGAGUUCCCUCUAGGUCCUCGAACAUACAAGAGACGAAGAACAUUACCGAAAGGUAAUCAGAAAAACUCCGUCUGGGGGGAAGUCCCAUCGGGUGACCUGCCUGCCUCAGUGGAGGAAAGUCGUGAGAGAAGAGAAACAGGCAGGAGGUGGAGAGAGCCUACUCGCUGAUUGAGAGCCAGUGGCAGGACCCAGAGGAACCUAAGCCUCCAAGCAGCAACACCCUCUCCUGGGCGCUAGGAGGACCACAGGCUGCCAGAGAGAGCACUUUCACACCCUUCUGCCCUUCUGGCUGGCCUAGGUUGCACCUUCCCGAGGGAAAGUAUCUUGAAAUAAAGUUUUUUUUUUUAAAAAGAAAAGCUG
rnacentral:lncRNA from 1 species